UACAGAGGUCCCAAGCGUUGUUCGGAUUCACUGGGCGUAAAGGGUGCGUAGGUGGUGAGGUAAGUCGGAUGUGAAAUCUCCGGGCUCAACCCGGAAAUGGCAUUGGAGACUACCUUGCUUGAGGAUUUGAGGGGGGAUUGGAAUACUUGGUGUAGCAGUGAAAUGCGUAGAUAUCAAGUGGAACACCAGUGGCGAAGGCGAAUCCCUGGAAAAUACCUGACACUGAGGCACGAAAGCUAGGGGAGCAAACAGG
rnacentral:rRNA from 1 species